AUGUCUCUUUCUGUGUUGUUACACUACAACAGAAUUAGAUUAUAGAGACACAUGUAUGGAGCAUUUUUGUAUAAGUGUUCAAUUUAUGCCAAAACUUAAAAAAAUCUACUAAUGCCUAAAUAUAAAGCCCAAUCCAAUCAAAAAUAAAAAGUAAUUACUCUACUCAACCCAUCCCACCCAGCCCAUUCGGCCUGAUUACAAAUAGAAAAGAAAAGAAAAAAGAAAAAUCGAUUACCAUCUUCCUUUCUCCCCUCACUCAAUUCACUGAAAUUUUAACCGAAGAUCCCUUCCUCUCGUCCUCCUCCACCACCGCAGCCAACGAGUUAGAGUUCCGGCGAUUGUUAAAUGCUUAAAUAAGUAUUGGUAAAUUAGCAGUACUUUUUUUGGUUAUAGCGACGCUCUUUAACUGUCACUAUAUACCUAGCGACCCCACAUAUAGCAACACUUUUUAAAAGUGUCAGUAAUUUAGUCAGCAGCACUUUUUUUGAUCUAUACCAACAUUUAAAAGUGUCGUUAUACACCGUUUUUAUUGUAGUGUUAAUUUUAUUGCUGUUUGAUGCUCAGAUAUUUGAUUUUGAAAACUAAUUG
rnacentral:lncRNA from 1 species